rnacentral:rRNA from 1 species
UUAAGCAUAUUAAUAAGCGGAGGAAGAGAAACUAACAAGGAUUCCCCCAGUAACGGCGAGCGAAGCGGGAACAGUUCGAGCCUGGAAUCCCCGGCAGUUUUGCCGGAGAAUUGUGGCCGGGAGAGGUAGCUUGUGCUGCGUUCGACGGCGCCGAAGUUGACCUGGAAGGGCACGUCGGAGAGGGUGACAACCCCGUGCACGGCCUCGGCGGGCGCAGCCGCUGCUGCCUUCGGAGAGUCGGGUUGUUUGGGAAUGCAGCCCAAAGUGGGUGGUAAACUCCAUCUAAAGCUAAAUAAAGGCACGAGACCGAUAGCAAACAAGUACCGUGAGGGAAAGGUGAAAAGUACUUUGAAAAGAGAGUCAAAGAGACCGCGAAACCGUUAGGAGGGAAACGAAUGCAGCCCGAUGGGCUUCGGUCGGGUUCAGGGGCUGCGGUACCGUCGGAGUGGUUGGGCGGACUCGUAGGGGCCGUCGUUCCUCUCCAGGGCGGUCUGCAACCCUGCACUCCCGAUCGGUAGCCGGCCAGCGUCGGUUCGGUUCGGCUCACGCGGAUGGUCGGGUAGGUGCCUCAAUGCGCCGUUUCGGCGUGCGCAGGGAGAACUUAGAGCCGAUCGUUCGGCAGUCGGACGGUUGAGGACCGAGGAGAUGUGCGACGCUUCGCACCGGCAGUGCAGGCUCGCCAUUCGGCGGGCCGGGUCUCUUCUGAUCGUUGGGUAGGCGCUGCUGGGACUGCUCGUCAGUGCCAGCUGACGUCCCGUCCUCUCGGUCGGGAGGUUGGCCACGCCUUGCGCUGCAGUCGCUGGCCGAAGGACGGCUGCAUCCGACCCGUCUU